rnacentral:rRNA from 1 species
UACGAAGGGGGCUAGCGUUGCUCGGAAUCACUGGGCGUAAAGGGUGCGUAGGCGGGUCUUUAAGUCAGGGGUGAAAUCCUGGAGCUCAACUCCAGAACUGCCUUUGAUACUGAAGAUCUUGAGUUCGGGAGAGGUGAGUGGAACUGCGAGUGUAGAGGUGAAAUGCGUAGAUAUUGGGAAGAACACCUGAGGCGAAGGCGGGUUGCUGGGCCGACACUGACGCUGAGGCGCGAAAGCCAGGGGAGCAAACGGG